GCAGAGGCGGAGCCCACCGGGAUCCUGGCUCCUCCUGGGAAACUCAUCUCUCAGAGCCUUGGAUAAACCAGGGGGAAGCAUAAAAUGUCAACUAAUUCUGAAGUAGAUACAGCAAGACGCAACCUUGUCUAGUUUGUUUUAAUUUUUUUAAUUAAAAAAAAAUGUGUGCAUGUGGUUGAUAACUUUGCACUGUCUUUAAGCAAGGGAACAAGUCAUGGAAUCAUCAGAACGAGAGCCAAAGAACCAGCGCAGAGGAUAAAGAUAGGGAGGAAGCAAAACAACAACAACAACAACAACAAAAACAAAAAAACAAAAAAAAAUAACCCAAAAACAAACAAACAAAAAACAGUCAAGUGAUCGGGGAGGGGAAGUGGAUGAAACGGAGAUGGGUGAAUCCAGAGGGACCCAGG
rnacentral:lncRNA from 1 species